rnacentral:rRNA from 1 species
GACGAACGCUGGCGGCGCGCCUAACACAUGCAAGUCGAGCGAUGAAACUUCUUCGGAAGUGGAUUAGCGGCGGACGGGUGAGUAACACGUGGGCAACCUACCUCAUAGUGGGGAAUAGCCUCUCGAAAGGGAGAUUAAUACCGCAUAAGAUUGUAGCUUCGCAUGAAGCAGCAAUUAAAGGAUUUAUUCGCUAUGAGAUGGGCCCGCGGCGCAUUAGCUAGUUGGUGAGGUAACGGCUCACCAAGGCGACGAUGCGUAGCCGACCUGAGAGGGUGAUCGGCCACAUUGGGACUGAGACACGGCCCAGACUCCUACGGGAGGCAGCAGUGGGGAAUAUUGCACAAUGGGGGAAACCCUGAUGCAGCAACGCCGCGUGAGUGAUGACGGUCUUCGGAUUGUAAAACUCUGUCUUUGGGGACGAUAAUGACGGUACCCAAGGAGGAAGCCACGGCUAACUACGUGCCAGCCGCCGCCGUAA